GGUGAAGAAGAAUGAAGGUUGUGCAGAUGGAUAGAGAGAAGGAAGGUAAGUUUAAUAAUAAGUUGUCCCAUAAAGGAAUGUGAAGUUGAUAUGAUAGAGAAGAGGGCAACAAGGUAAAAGAAAGAAGCAUAACAACGUAAGCAAGACUUUGUAACAUAUAAAUGGGAGACAAAAUCGAAGGUGACAUGACAAGACAGCACCGUCCAUGUCUCCCCAGUACACUAUCCUCUCUCUGCCAUCCCAUGCCAUGCAUGCAUGCCACUCUGCUUCUGCAAUACCCUCAUUUUUUUUUUAUUUUUUAUUUUUUUUCCCGUUGAAGGGUUUUAAGGAUUCAGUACUUGUGCCUGUGUUGUCGAUUGUCACCACACAUCAGGAAACACAACUACUUCCCUUCUUCUAUUGUUAAAUCUGUGCUGGUUUAUAUGGCAAUCACAUGAGCUCAGAAGCAAGAAAACAUUAUCACUGUAUGUGUGUUCAUCAGAUCAUGCUUGACUUGACUACUCAAAUAUUUCUGGAUUUCCACGCGUGAGGGAAUUCAAUUCCAUCGUGCUCAAUUUCAUCAUCCACUGGAUUUCCUCAUGCUCCUUUACCUAUUUUCAUAAUCCAUAACUCUAAAACCCUUCAAUCAACAUUUUAUAAGCUCUCUCAUUCCGAUAUCAAGAUAGUCAGAAGAUUAGCUUUCAGUGUCUC
rnacentral:lncRNA from 1 species